GGAAAAUGGGUGGUGAUAUCCAUUAUUUGGGUCCAUAUCUCUUCUUUUCUAAAGAAAAAUUUUCAAGAUUCAUGGGUCCUGAUUUGUUUAGAUCCUGACUUGAACAAACCCAGUGUAAAAAAACAUGUUUGAGACAGAGGGAAAUUUGAACACAGACUGGGUAUUAGAUGAUAUUAAAGAAUUAGAUCUAAUAACGCUAUUUUGGAUACUUUUUAAAAAAAACAAACAUUAUCUAUGAGAGAUAUAUACUGAAGCUUUUAUAGGUGAAGUGAUGUUUCAAAUUUGCUUCAAAGUAUUCCAUGGAAAAAAAAAUUAAAAGGGAGGGAAGGAUCAAUGAAACAGUGCAGACAAAACCCCAGUAUGGGUGAUGGGCACACUGAGGUUCAUUAUAUUUUUCUCUCUACUUUUAUCUUUGUUAGAAAUUUUUAUAAUAAAAAGUGUUUUUGUAAAAAGAUUCAUAGGCCAUCAGGAUAGAUCCAGCCCAUAGAAAUGUUUGGACAGUACUCUGUUAAAAAAAAUCAAUAUCAUAUAAAGGAGCAUGCAGUUUGCCAGUUCCACCUCCUCUUGUCUUAGUACUGGGGCCUCUCCCACAUCUACAUUGCCUAUUUGGCUCUGGUAGCAUUUAACUUUGUAGGUCUGCAUGGGGACCUUUGUGUAAUGAACCAUUAUAACUGACCACAUUCACUAUGUCUAAACAGGUUAAAUCUAGUUUUUGAUAAUCAGUAGCUGGUUAAUUCUUUAAUUAAGCCACUUAGUUUUGCUCUUUCUAUGGCUACAGAGUGAGACCCCACUUGAGCCAGUAUAUUUGUUCCACUGGGCAGGGGAUUAUAGCUGGACAACCUGUCCCCACUACUGAGCAGCGACAUCAGCCUGAUGUCUUGCUGCCUUCAUAUCAGUAAUGUCUUUGGUGAGACGUCCACUCAUGUUCCUGAAAGAUCAGACAGUCUACACGCAUUUCCAACUAGUGCAUGGUUGGUUCCUGGGGCUUACUGUGAAGCUCCAAAGGCUUUCCAGAUUCAUCAUACACUCAGGGAUACUGCCAACCAAUGAUCUGAAACAGUAUAGCAACGUAGUUUAGCACAUGGGCUCUGGAAUCACUUCCUGGAUUUAAAUCCCAGCUCUGUCACAGUGAAUAUAUUUACUCUUGCUGUGCCAGUUUUGUCAUUUGCAAAAUGGGGCACUACUAGGAAUUACCCUCAGAAGGAUGGUGUGAGGAUUAAAGAACAUAAUAUAUGAAAAGUACUGAGAACAUCGUCUGGAGCGUGGUAUACACUCAAUAUCUGUUAACUGUUAUUACUACAUAACUAUUAUCUUCAACAACAGCAAAAGUUUACACCAAAAUAAUGCCCGUGUUUCAUCAAUGUCCAUAAUACUUUAAAAUUAAUUCUAAGAAAAGGUUAUACGGAACUAGAUCACUACUAUAAAAGUUCCUCUGUGUAAACAGCUUCCUUUCACUGAAUUAGAUGCCUUCUUGAGUUACAAAUUGUUAAUUUCAAAGUAGCUGCAGAUGUUUUUAAGUCAAAAUCACUGAAAGAGUUUUCGUGACCUUUCUUUGAUCAGAUAAACUCACUUUAGCAAUUACAAUAAUUAUAGCUGAAAAGAAUCAUACAAUGUAUAGAAGAGGGUACAGGGAAAAAAUCAUUGCAUGGUAUUGUGCAUCUGAUUUACAACCUCCUUCCUCACAAGAAGUCCUUUAAGAUCAUUAAAAAGGUGUCACGUAAAUUCAAGGUAUUAGAAUGAAGAGAAUAUUCUCAAUGAAGAUUAAUGAAAUACUUCUCAAAUCAGCGCCAGAAAUUACAAAAGACUUUCUGGAAGCAGACUCUAAAGACGAAACAGAAGUUUCAAUUUGAAUCAAAAUAGCGACAGUGGUUGGCAAAGGACUAGAGCCAUUUGAGUCGUAAACUGUGAAUAGGGUGUGCUUGUGUGUGUAAUCAAAAGACGAAAACCGCUUUGCCUAGCAGAGCUAACCGCGUUCAAGGAAGUCCAGGAUAAAAAUUAACCAAAAUGUUUGAAGUAUCUAAAGGACCCAAUAGUUCUCAUAAUCAAAGCAAAAAGGCGUUUAGAAAAGAUGAGUUCACCCCACUCUGCUCAGGAACUGAAAAAAAAAAAUCAGAGCAAGAAACUCAUCAUCAGCUGGACCAGAUAAACCCUGCCCCCUCCCUGUGCAUCCACUGUAACAACUAUGAAAUGGAGGAACAGAGCAACCAAAGUGCUGUAAAGAUACACUGGGAAUAAUGGACAGAGCAAAAUACAAAGAAAAUUUUUUCUGUUUUA